ACAUGGGCGGCUUGCUUACCAUGCAAGUCGAGCGAAGCGUAUUUGCGGAAGUUUUCGGAUGGAAGCGGAUGCGACUUAGCGGCGGACGGGUGAGUAACGCGUGGGUAACCUGCCUCAUACAGGGGGAUAACAGUUAGAAAUGACUGCUAAUACCGCAUAAGCGCACAGGACCGCAUGGUCUGGUGUGAAAAACUCCGGUGGUAUGAGAUGGACCCGCGUCUGAUUAGCUAGUUGGCGGGGUAACGGCCCACCAAGGCGACGAUCAGUAGCCGACCUGAGAGGGUGGCCGGCCACAUUGGGACUGAGACACGGCCCAAACUCCUACGGGAGGCAGCAGUGGGGAAUAUUGCACAAUGGGGGAAACCCUGAUGCAGCAACGCCGCGUGAGUGAAGAAGUAUUUCGGUAUGUAAAGCUCUAUCAGCAGGGAAGAAGAAAGACGGUACCUGACUAAGAAGCCCCGGCUAACUACGUGCCAGCAGCCGCGGUAAUACGUAGGGGGCAAGCGUUAUCCGGAUUUACUGGGUGUAAAGGGAGCGUAGACGGCAUAGCAAGUCUGAAGUGAAAGCCCGUGGCUCAACCGCGGAACUGCUUUGGAAACUGUUAAGCUGGAGUACUGGAGAGGCAAGCGGAAUUCCUAGUGUAGCGGUGAAAUGCGUAGAUAUUAGGAGGAACACCAGUGGCGAAGGCGGCUUGCUGGACAGAGACUGACGUUGAGGCUCGAAAGCGUGGGGAGCAAACAGGAUUAGAUACCCUGGUAGUCCACGCGGUAAACGAUGAAUGCUANGUGUUGGCGGGCAAA
rnacentral:rRNA from 1 species